UACAGAGGUCUCAAGCGUUGUUCGGAUUCAUUGGGCGUAAAGAGCGCGUAGGCGGCACUGUUAGUCAGGCGUGAAAGUCCUGGGCUCAACCUGGGAACUGCGCUUGAUACGGCAGAGCUAGAGGAUGGAAGAGGGUCGCGGAAUUCCCAGUGUAGAGGUGAAAUGCGUAGAUAUCUGGAGGAAUACCGGUGGCGAAGGCGGCAUCCUGGACCGGCAUUGACGCUGAGGAGGGAAAGCUAGGGGAGCAAACGGG
rnacentral:rRNA from 1 species